GGGUCAAUGAUGAAAUCAAUGCCUUGUCUCUAGAGAGGUGUUGUCUUAAAACUCUUGCCCAAUCGUGUUAUGCUGAGGACC
rnacentral:snoRNA from 1 species